UACGGGGGGGGCAAGCGUUGUUCGGAAUUACUGGGCGUAAAGGGCUCGUAGGUGGCCAACUAAGUCGGACGUGAAAUCCCUCAGCUUAACUGGGGAACUGCGUCCGAUACUGGAUGGCUUGAGUUUGGGAGAGGGAUGCGGAAUUCCAGGUGUAGCGGUGAAAUGCGCAGAUAUCGGGAGGAACACCAAUGGCGAAGGCAGCUCGCUGGGACGUUACUGACGCUGAGACGCGAAAGCGUGGGGAGCAAACAGG
rnacentral:rRNA from 1 species